GGGAGCAUCUGGGGUAUCCCAUGACGUCACACACGGUAGCCCGGCUGCAGAGCAGAGGGCCCCUGAUGGGGAGGUAGGGGGCGCCACUGCACACGACGCCUCUGUGAGACCAAAGGAGCCCCGACCCAAUGCCGCCCUUGUUCCCAGAGACCAUCAUCGCCCAAACGCGACGCUGACGCCAGUGCAGGCCCAGGACCCACAUUUCCGCGCGCCGACCCCCAUCCCUCCCGCCCACCAGCCAAUCAGCAACCAGCACCACCAGCCAAUCACCAACCAGCACCACCAGCCAAUCAGCAACCAGUAUCGCCGUCACUCCAGGGACGACGACAAACACCAGGCCUCCGGCCAAAAGCCGCAGCACACAGAAAAGAGUAAAAAGUAGACCGAGUUUUAACUGUUAUCAGUACAAUUAACUUUUGUGCAGUAUAGUCAUUUUCAAAACCGAAAAUAUACAGAUUUUUGUGCCUCAAACUAAACCAAACCAUUGUUAUUUUUAAAAGUUUCUUGGGGACAUACUUGAAGAAAGGUGUACUCUUUUCCCUUACUUUCAGACAAGCCUCCCUUUACCAUACGUUCCCGGUGUAAUAAUGAAUGGAAUAAAAAAAAAACAUGCUUUGAGCUAAGACUCGAUAUCUUAUUGAAUGUUACAUAAGGUCACACUGACUCGAUUUUAUGAAUUUUACGUCCACUCGACACUCCAAUAUUAAUGCGACCAUACGCAAAUAAAAACGCCAUGAGAUGAAAAUACAUGUGUGCCUAACUCCUUUGAAGAAAGGGAUCGGGAAUGUUGUAGAAAGAAGUAAACACACACUGUAUGG